rnacentral:tRNA from 1 species
UGGGACGUAGCCAAAGGGUAAGGCAGCGGGCUUUGGCCCCGUCAUCGUUGGUUCGAAUCCAACCGUCCCAG